ACUCUCACAACACGUCCAUCUCAGCUCAGCCGGGGAAAAGGAGACUCUCACAACAAGUAAAGGAGACUCUCACAACAAGUAAUGUUAUCACUCCACACUGAGGAAGUUAUGGAAAACACUAUUACUGAAUGAGGAAAUCAACAACUGUGGUGUUUCAGGGGUGUGUGUGUGUGUGCGCAUGUGUGUGUGUAUGUGUGUGUGUGUGUGUGUGUGUGUGUGUGUGUGUGUGUGUGUGUGUGUGUGUGUGUGUAAAGCCAUGCAGCAAGUCAACUAAACACUCACCUAAUAUUCGUAUUGCUGUGUGCUCCAGUCCUUUCUCUAUCAGGUGAACCAACACAUGUAGACUACACACACUCUAGAUCAGGUGAACCAACACAUGUAGUCUACACACACUCUAGACUGGUGCCGUAGUGAGGUCACCCUCCCUCCCUUCUGGGUCUCUUACCUCAAAGAAUCGAAACGUUGUAUUAUCUCAAAUUACCUUGUGCCAGUUGUCGGAGCUCAGAGCUCAGAGCUCUCAAAUAAACACAAGACGAUAUAGCGAGUAUAAGAAAAGCAAUAAACUAGUCUAACAGGAUAUAAUGUUGUAUUUCUCGUCCCUUCAUGAAUAGGCACCUUGUCUGAACGGCAGAUUGUUGAGGGUGUAGUCAUAGCUGUACUGUUUGUGUUAUUAUCCUGUGUUAGUAAUGGUUUGUAUCUGUCACUAAGCAGUAGUGAACUAUGAAUGGGGGUGGUGCCUCUCAUCUUGGUUUCAAAUCACCACCACAAUAUCAACAUCACAAUAUCAACUACAACAUCAACUGAGGAACUAAAGGCAGACAGGACAAAGUAACCGACACCCUCUUCAUUGAGUUGAAUUGAGUUCAGGAUAAACAACAGAGGAAAAGUACCUCAAAAUUAUGACUUCAGCUCCUGAUAAACCAGAUUGUGGGCCGAUGGUGGUUACUGUUGGAUUCUUGACGUUGAUCAUUGGAAUCGCUGUUGGAGUGAAACUGAAGGUGGCCACAAAUGCACAACAGCGAUCUGGGAAAUCACAGACUAGAAAAGAAGAGGAGGAGUUAUGGAAAUGAGGUGUUUUUCCUGUAGCUAUAACAACCUGUAUCUGAAGGAGGGCAGAGUACAGGGUUACAUACAUUCCUGCCAUGCCAGUGUCUAAUUGGGUGAAGUCAGCAAACAGCAAUGAUGGCCCUGAUGAAUCAUCUGUGGUUUGUGGUGACUUUAGUGUUAUUCUGGGGUGAAAGGGGUAGGUAUAUAAACAACAACAAAUAUUAGUGAUGGUUAAGGGAUUUUUCAUCAAUAAUGACUAAUUAUGUAUACAUUUCAAUCAGGACUGACUAAUCAGAAUACUAUUAUGUUACUGUAUAGAUGUAUGAAUUUUCUUUUAAUCCUAGUACUGAAUAUAAUGUGUGUAAAUAUAAUCAAGAAUUAGAACAAUGACUGUCUGUUCCUUGGUAGAAAUGAAUUAACUUAUCGUCAGACUGGCUAGAAUGGUUAUCUACACAGGCAGACCUUUGCUCGGUCAUAAAUGAUCUAAAUUAGGAGAGACGAUGUGUGAAGGCUUGAGAACUAUACAGACAUUGUACUGGAAUGGAGGUGAGACGGGGCAGUUCGAAAACUAAUGACGUCAUUUUCAAUUUAUAACCUGUUGUAAAAUGUUUCAUGUUCAGUACUCAGCAGUACGCUGCUGAUUAAUUUUGAGACUGGUCUCUGUCCAUUUUAUGCAAAUAAGAGUCUUACAAAUUAUUAGGAAUGGACAGAGUGUUGAAUUUAAUUGGGUAUUAAAACAUGUAGGAAUUAAAUUCCUGCAACAGUGAUAUAGCCAUUUAUUCUUGAAUAGUCAAUCUCAUAAUUGCAUCAUGGAGUCGAUUCAGACUUUAGUAAAUGUAUCCCUUUUUUUGCGCGUUUUGAUUUAAGCACCUCUUAGUAUUUGUUAUUCAGACUUACCUAAUGCAGGUGUGUAACAAGGUUUACAGGUGUGGCUCCCUUGCGCAUACUGAAUACAUUCAAUUCAUUCCCAGAAAACACACCAACUGGGUGGCCUACCAACUUGAUGAGGGUUUUUCUUGAAUGUUGUGUUCUGUUUAUUUAUGUAAACCAAUCCCUUUAGAUACUGUGGACAAUUAAUUAGAAUUUCAUAUGGCACAAUAUUAGAAUGUAGUCUAUGGAGAAUGCAUUCAGAAUGGAGACCAAUGAAAGGUAGCCAUCAAAACAACUGACACAUGCUUCUGCACAACGCAUCACCCUACAUUACUCACCUCAUAUAUACUGUACUCUAUACCAUCUACUGCAUCUUGCCUAUGCCGUUCGGCCAUCGCUUAUCUAUAUAUAUUUAUGUACAUAUUCUUAUUCAUUCCUUUACACUUGUGUGUAUAAGGUAGUUGUUGUGAAAUUGUUAGAUAUUACUGCACGGUCGGAACUAGAAGCACAAGCAUUUCGCAACACUUGCAUUAACAUCUGCUGACCAUGUGUAUAUGACAAAGAAAAUGUAUUUGGAUUUGAUUACAUUUGGUACAACUGUCAUUGAUGCUUUGCAUCGUCAUCAGUCAGUUCACGUCUAGUUUUGAUUUACGUUUGAUCAAGUUGUCAACUAACUGUGAAUUUGACGUGAAAUCAAAAAACAAAUGCCAUCAUGUCAUUCGAUUUAAGUUAGAAGUUGGGUGAAAAAAACAAUAACAUGCCC
ensembl:lncRNA